CAACUCUCGGCAAACGGAUAUCUUGGCCCUCGCACCGAUGAAGAGCGCAGCGAAAUGCGAUACGUAGUGUGAAUUGCAGAAUUCCGCGAACCAUGGAGAUCUUGAACGCACUUGGCGCCCGAGGCUUUGGCGGAGGGCACGUCCGUCUGAGCGUCA
rnacentral:rRNA from 1 species